rnacentral:lncRNA from 1 species
UCGGCCUCGACGAUGGUCCGACGGUUUCUUUCCGGCGGCAAACAGAGGAAGAAAGGGUCGUCCGUGCUGUGGCUCGGCUCUCUCUUUCUCUCUCUCUCCCUCUCUCUCAGCCGGCAGCCCAAGGAAGAAGAACCCCCAACUAAGAAGGGACUUGGGUUUGCGGCUCCUCUUCCAAUGGCUUCAACGAGAGGAGGAGAAGCCCUAAAAACAACUAGACGCCGGCUUCUUCGGAUCUCCAAAACCUUGGGGCUGCCGGUCCACUGGACCGGCUCAGUUCCAGGGUCUCACACACCGAAUGUGUCAU